rnacentral:rRNA from 1 species
CGUAGGGUGCGAGCGUUAAUCGGAAUUACUGGGCGUAAAGUGUGCGCAGGCGGCUCCGCAAGUCGAGUGUGAAAUCCCCGAGCUUAACUUGGGAAUUGCGCUCGAAACUACGGAACUGGAGUGUGGCAGAGGAAGGUGGAAUUCCACGUGUAGCGGUGAAAUGCGUAGAGAUGUGGAGGAACACCGAUGGCGAAGGCAGCCUUCUGGGCCAACACUGACGCUCAUGCACGAAAGCGUGGGGAGCAAACAGGAUUAGAUACCCUGGUAGUCCACGCCCUAAACGAUGAUGACUAGUUGUUGGAGGAGUUAAAUCCUUUAGUAACGCAGCUAACGCGUGAAGUCAUCCGCCUGGGGAGUACGGUCGCAAGAUUA